rnacentral:misc_RNA from 1 species
AAGUCGUAACAAGGUUUCCGUAGGUGAACCUGCGGAAGGAUCAUUAGUAUGAGCAUUGUAAAUGCCAAAGUCCAACGAGAGUUGGCAACCCCUUUUUUUAUAAACUCCUGUUUUCUAUGAAAUCAGUCUGAACUUGUUUAUUAUUAAACGUUAAAACUUUCAGCAACGGAUCUCUUGGCUCUC